rnacentral:rRNA from 1 species
AGAGUUUGAUCCUGGCUCAGAAUCAACGCUGGCGGCGUGCCUCAGACAUGCAAGUCGAACGCGAAAGUUCCCUUCGGGGAGCAAGUAGAGUGGCGCACGGGUGAGUAACACGUAGGUAAUCUACCUUCGGAUGGGGAAUAACAACCGGAAACGGUUGCUAAUACCGCAUAAUGCAGCGGCACCUAAUGGUGACAGUUGUUAAAGCGGGGGAUCGAAAGACCCCGCGUCUGAAGAGGAGCCUGCGGCAGAUUAGCUAGUUGGUAAGGUAACGGCUUACCAAGGCGAUGAUCUGUAGCCGGCCUGAGAGGGCGGUCGGCCACACUGACACUGAUAUACGGGUCAGACUCCUACGGGAGGCAGCAGUCGGGAAUUUUGGGCAAUGGGCGAAAGCCUGACCCAGCAACGCCGCGUGAAGGAUGAAAUCCUUCGGGAUGUAAACUU